UCAUAUUUGUAUUAUCUAGAAACAGCUAAUAUGAAGUGUUUGUUCUACCUGGAAGAUGGUAAAGUGUAUUUGUGUUUUAGUGUGAUUCUGUAUGAGUGAUCUUCACUGUAACAGCUGCAGCAACACAACACAGAGAGGUUUUUGUACCAGCAGUAAUAGGAUUGUAUCACUGUGGUACACUUUUGGUAGCGGCACCAGACUAGAUGUUGGAAGUAACAGUGCCCCCACCCUCACCGUCCUGCCCCCCUCUAGUGAGGAGCUGUCCAGUACAACAACAGCCACACUGAUGUGUCUGGCCAACAAGGGCUUCCCCUCAGACUGGACCAUUAGAUGGAAAGUGGACGGGACCAGCCAGAAGCAGGAGACCAGUCCCGGGGUCCUGGAGAAGGAUGGUCUGUACAGCUGGAGCAGCACCCUGACCCUCACUGCCCAGGAGUGGACCAAGGCAGGAGAGGUGACCUGUGAAGCCCACCAGAGCUCCCAGCCUACAGUCACCAAGACCCUGAAGAGGGCUGACUGUUCUGGGUAGGACCCACCAGUCACACACCCCUGUGGAGAGAGGACGCUGGUUCCUCGGCUUUGACUCUGUUCUGAGAUCAGAUGUUCUCUGUCUUAUUGAUCACUGACAUGUAGACUAACAGAGGGCUUUGCUUGAGUCAUUGUGUCAAUCCUCUCUGUAGACUGAGAUUGUAUCAGUGUUAGAUUUGAUGUGUUCUGUUUUAUUACUUUUAGAUACUGUAGGAAUGAUUGCUUUGAUGCUUUGAUUAAUAGACAAAAAUAAAGACUUCUCGUUGGAACAAA